AUAGGAGGUGAAUUUGUGUUAUCAGGAGCUGAGAGUUUAAAAAAAACAAAAAAUAGCAGAAAAUAGUAUGGAAAUAGAAAUAUACUGAAUACAAAAAAUUAAGGUUUGUAGCUUGCCUGAUGUGUGGUUCAAAUUCACCCUGGACCUCUAAAAACCAUCGCUUUAUUACCUGAGAAAGUAUUACCUAAGAAAAUACCAAUAUUUUGCCAAUGUACUGCCUGUGAACAUCAAUAUAAUACCCUUAUAAUACUAAAGCGAUUCUGAUUUUGGUACCAGAGACUGAGGUUGCAAUUUCAGUGUGUUCUUCAAUUUAAGUUGAAAUUAAAUGGUUUAUUAGUCAUAAAUAGUUAAGAACUGUGAAUACUAGUGGUGCAGAAAGCUCAGGGCAAUCAAUUGUUCAAUGAAAUAUACAAAUUACAGAAGGAAUUUAUGGACCAGGAAAUUGAAAUGGCUUCUAAUAGGAAUAUGAAAUUGAGGAUCGGAAUAAAUGCAAGAGAGGAUAAACCUAGAGAAAAAAUCGGAAAGGGCAUUUGAUGGUAUUACAUAGCAAAUGCAGAACAUUCACUUGUGCAAUAUCAAGCAAUGCAAAUCUGUAAGGUACAUUUUUACCAAUGCCAAUGAACUUUACUCCAGAAAAAAGAGAGAGGAUCAGAAGAUUAGCUCAAGAACAAGCUUUGAUAUUUGGAAAAGAAUAUCUGGCACAACAAAAAGCUGAAGAUUUAGGAAAGAGAUUCAUAUUUUGGGAUGUAUAAAUGAAAGGUGUAUAAAAGACUGCAGCCAGAUGAUCUGAAAAUAUCUGUGUUUACUGGGCAAAGAAAGAGGGGUAAUAGGUGCCAUCGGUAUAAUAAGAGGCUGCCAGAGGUAACAGACGAGCUGUGGAAGGUCGUGGACGGAUAUAAAACUGCCGAGAUUAUAGAUAAAUUCUUAAUUCUUUUUGAAGUCAAGAAAUGCGUCAGUACUGCCACUUGCUUGCUUUGAUGCGACAAUACGAAGGAUGAUGAAGAAUGUUUGAAUAUUUUUAAAUCAAACAGAAAAUCAUCAAAUAGAAGGCACAAAAAUAAUGCGACUCUCUACAGGUUCUGGUGGGCUUUGAAGACAUUUGAUCAGGCUGACCGUGACAAAGUCUUACAGCAUGUCACUGGAUCUUACAAAGUGUUCCUACAUGGAUUUGGUGCUCCUACAUGGAUGAACUGCAUUCAAAAUUUCAAAUUCAUAGAGAUGACUGUUCUACCGAUCGUUUACCUUCCGCGCAUACUUGCUUUAAUCAAUUGGAUCUUCCAGUAUACGGGACUAUUACGGUAAACUAAGGGCAUACUUGCUGAAGGAUAUCCAUAAAAAAUGUUCUGAAGAUUUUGAUUUUUUGCCUGAAUAAUGCAAUAAAUAUUAAAGACUGAUGUGUUUGUUUGUACUUAUCUAUAUAGUGGUCUUGAGUGUAUAUAAUAAUAUCUCUUCAAGAUCCUCGAACGUUCAGCUGGCUAGCAGACAUCACUUAUGUUAGUUUGUUCAGAAACAUCACAAACUGUAUAUUCUCUAGUAGAGAUUGAAAGCCUUUUUAAUUACGUACCCUAUGAUCGAGAAAAAACGGCGUCAACUAUGGCUAUGAAAUGAAGAUUGCUGUCAAUUUAUAUGGGAAAUGUCAUCAAUUGUCAUUACCGAGCCAACUG
rnacentral:lncRNA from 1 species